AGUCAUAUUUGACUCCAAAAUACUAACCAAGCUUCUUAUUGCUUUUCCAAGCUUUGAUGGUGUAGCCGAAGUCCGUAUGAGUCUUUUGCUUUGUAUCUUCUAACAAGGAAACAAUACUUUAGGUUUUGGGACCGGUUCCGGUUCUAGUUCUUAUACUCAAUCAUACAAAUGACAUCUAUUCAUAUUUGACUCCAAAAAACUAACCAAGCUUCUUAUUGCUUCUCAAAGAUUUGAUGGUGUAGCUGAACUCUGUAUGAAUCUUUUGCUUUGUAUCUUCUAACAAGGAGAUAUUAU
rnacentral:sRNA from 1 species